rnacentral:lncRNA from 1 species
AUGUCUCCUGCCUCCCCAUCCAAGCCCCGGGGCUUGCAGCCUCACCUUGGUCGGCAAUCUUACCUAGUCCCCCCCACCAGCCAAAAACAACCACUGCGUGUGUGCGCCCAGCCCACACUCAGAACAGCAAGGGGGAACCCCAGGACAGCCAGGGCCUCCAAACCUGCCCAGAACCCUGAGCAGACCAAGGGCCAGGCAUGGAACGAGACCUCAGAGCCUGCCAAGUUCAAGUGGGCCAGGCUGGGAGUCUUUGCUGAAUUUUCCUGCCCCGUCCUCCACCAUAAACAGCGAACAGCGGCUUCUUACCUCCGGGUCUCGGCAGACCCCUGGCUGGACUCUGCCUCCUCCCCUUCUACCGCCUCCCAGGGCUUGCGGGCACCCAGCCUGAGCUUGUCUGGGCAGGCUGUCCCAGGUUCAGCCUGCAUCUGCUCGUCCACCUGUACCCUGUCUGGAGAUCAGUCCUGGGUCUGCCACUCCCCGGCUGUGUGGUGCAGAGUAGGCCAGGACCCUUCUCUGAGCCUCAGCGUUCCCCGUCUGUGAAAUGGGGGUAAUAAAAGGACCCAUCCUACUGUGUUUUCAAAUGAACGACAUGAGGAACCAGGGCAGAAACCACUCCGAAAUGCACUCUGCCCACCAAGACUCAUUUCACCAUCCCAGCAACUCCGAGGAGUAUCUGCCCCAUUUUACAGCUGAGGAGACUGAGGGCAACCCGGAGAGUCAGAGCAAUUCAUGCAAGCCCGUGUGACUCGAUGGCAUCAGGCCACAUCCUUAGCUUCCGUGACAUGAGACCGGUCCUGGUGCAGCCCGGCGGGGCCUCUCCAGAGCUGCCCCAUGUCAAAUUGACUCGGGUCUACUUGGGGUUGCUACUGGGGCAACUGAGUCAUCUCCUUCUGGGUCAUUUUCCACCAGGCCUCCCCAUAUUUCCUCAGAGUCAGCCCUUGCUGUAUACAAACCAAACACAGGAAAUGGGUACACCUGAAAUGUCAAGGCCAUGUGGGCAGGGAGGCUGUGGGCUGAGAAGAGCACAGCUUGUGCUGGGCCUAUCUCUGCGAGAAGCAUUAAGAGCAUCUCACCCUAGCCCCAGAGCAAGCCAGCCCAUGGGACUCUUCCUGGGACCAGGUGUCCCUCUUCUCUCCUGACUUCCCUACCCCCAUCUCUGCCUAGAGAAAUUUCACCCCCCCACACACAAAGGCCCAUUUCAAAUGUCCCCUCUUCCAGGAAGCCCUCUUGGAGUUAUCCCAUCCUUUCCCAUGGGAAGGCAGCCUCUGAACCUUGAAAGCCCUGCAUUUUACCUACACGACACUAACAUCCAGCUCUUGCGGUGUGUGUGCCAGGCCCUUUCUAAAAACUGAAGGGUUGACUCAUUUAAUCCCUGUAACAAUCCCGUGAAGGAGGUACUGUUUUUAUAGAAGAGAGACUGAGGCCCAAGGAGAUUUAGUGGCCCAUCCUAGAGCACAUUGCCAAUUAGUG